GAUGAACGCUGGCGGCGUGCCUAAUACAUGCAAGUCGAGCGAACGGACGAGAAGCUUGCUUCUCUGAUGUUAGCGGCGGACGGGUGAGUAACACGUGGAUAACCUACCUAUAAGACUGGGAUAACUUCGAGAAACCGGAGCUAAUACCGGAUAAUAUUUUGAACCGCAUGGUUCAAAAGUGAAAGACGGUCUUGCUGUCACUUAUAGAUGGAUCCGCGCUGCAUUAGCUAGUUGGUAAGGUAACGGCUUACCAAGGCAACGAUGCAUAGCCGACCUGAGAGGGUGAUCGCCCACACUGGAACUGAGACACGGUCCAGACUCCUACGGGAGGCAGCAGUAGGGAAUCUUCCGCAAUGGGCGAAAGCCUGACGGAGCAACGCCGCGGGAGUGAUGAAGGUCUUCGGAUCGUAAACCUCUUUUAUGAGGGAAAAAAAAAUGUGUAAGUAACUGUGCACUUCUUGACGGUACCUAAUCAGAAAGCCACGGCUAACUACGUG
rnacentral:rRNA from 1 species